rfam:Homo sapiens chromosome 17, GRCh38 reference primary assembly.
GCUGGGCGUGGUGGCGCACGCCUGUAAUCCCAGCUACUUAGGAGGCUGAGGCAGGAGGAUCACUGGAACCCAGGAGGCGGAGGUUGCAGUGAGCUGAGAUCACCCCACUGCCCUCCAGCCUGGGUGACAGAGUGAGACUCUGGUUCAA